UCCAGACUCCUACGGGAGGCAGCAGUGGGGGAUAUUGGACAAUGGGGGAAACCCUGAUCCAGCGGCGCCGCGUGAGUGAAGAAGUAUUUCGGUAUGUAAAGCUCUGUCAGCGGGGAAGAAAGAAAUGACGGUACCUGACCAAGAAGCCCCGGCUAACUACGUGCCAGCAGCCGCGGUAAUACGUAGGGGGCAAGCGUUAUCCGGAAUUACUGGGUGUAAAGGGAGCGUAGACGGUGAUGCAAGUCUGGAGUGAAAGGCGGGGGCCCAACCCCCGGACUGCUCUGGAAACUGUAUGGCUGGAGUGCAGGAGAGGUAAGUGGAAUUCCUAGUGUAGCGGUGAAAUGCGUAGAUAUUAGGAGGAACACCAGUGGCGAAGGCGGCUUACUGGACUGUAACUGACGUUGAGGCUCGAAAGCGUGGGGAGCAAACAGGAUUAGAUACCCGCGUA
rnacentral:rRNA from 1 species